UCAGAUUAAGGACAUUUGUAGACCAGU
rnacentral:piRNA from 1 species